rnacentral:tRNA from 1 species
CAGGGAGACAACAAAAUGUUUAAUAUUAUUAUUUUGUCACCUUAGGUCGAUCGGUAUCUCACAUUCUUAAUUUAUUAAGAAUUUCAUUUCCUAAGUUUUUCUAGGUCACACCCAUUAUUUUUCCUGGGCCAUUAGCUCAGGUGGUUAGAGCGCACCCCUGAUAAGGGUGAGGUCCCUGGUUCAAGUCCAGGAUGGCCCAUAUCUCUAUGUUGGGGGUAUAGCUCAGUUGGUAGAGCGCCUGCUUUGCAAGCAGGAUGUCAGCGGUUCGAGUCCGCUUACCUCCACUGAUUACCACCUCUUCCAUAAUCAAUAGAAGGGAAAAUGUUUGAGUUGUGAUCGAAUUCUGAACGAAUCUAGCUUCCUAAUGAAAUCAUUAAGAUGCUGGACUCAUUGAAUUUUCAUUGAAUUAUUCAUUGAUUUCAGAGAACCUUGACAACUGCAUAGAUUUUUUUUUAAAGACAAUAAGCACCUUUAAUGAUGCAGAUUUAUUAUUUUUGCGAAUGCAUUAAUAACAAUUCUAUUAAGCUGAUGCUUCAAUUUUUGAAGUUAUU